UACGUAGGGUGCAAGCGUUGUCCGGAAUUAUUGGGCGUAAAGAGCUCGUAGGCGGUUCAGUAAGUCGGGUGUGAAAACUCUGGGCUCAACCCAGAGACGCCACCCGAUACUGCUGUGACUUGAGUACGGUAGGGGAGUGGGGAAUUCCUGGUGUAGCGGUGAAAUGCGCAGAUAUCAGGAGGAACACCAGUGGCGAAGGCGCCACUCUGGGCCGUAACUGACGCUGAUGCGCGAAAGCCAGGGGAGCAAACGGG
rnacentral:rRNA from 1 species